CCCUUAGAUGUUCUGGGCCGCACGCGCGCUACACUGACUGGUGCAACAAGUGUCUGACCUUGGCUCGAGAGGCCUGGGCAACCUUUGAACGCCAGUCGUGCUGGGGAUAGAUUCUUGCAAUUAUUAAUCUUCAACGAGGAAUUCCUAGUAAACGCAAGUCGUCAGCUUGCAUUGAUUACGUCCCUGCCCUUUGUACACACCGCCCGUCGCUACUACCGAUUGAAUGGCUUAGUGAGGUCUUGGGAUUGGCUUCGGGGAGCCGGCAACGGCACCCUGUCGCUGAGAACUUGAUCAAACUUGGUCAUUUAGAGGAAGUAAAANUCGUAACA
rnacentral:rRNA from 1 species